rnacentral:rRNA from 1 species
GUCGUAGACCCGAAACCAGGUGAUCUACCCAUGGUCAGGUUGAAGUUCAGGUAACACUGAAUGGAGGACCGAACCGACUUACGUUGAAAAGUGAGCGGAUGAACUGUGGGUAGCGGAGAAAUUCCAAUCGAACUUGGAGAUAGCUGGUUCUCUCCGAAAUAGCUUUAGGGCUAGCCUCAAGUGAUGAUUAUUGGAGGUAGAGCACUGUUUGGACGAGGGGCCCCUCUCGGGUUACCGAAUUCAGACAAACUCCGAAUGCCAAUUAAUUUAACUUGGGAGUCAGAACAUGGGUGAUAAGGUCCGUGUUCGAAA